rnacentral:rRNA from 1 species
GGCGGACGGGUGAGGAAUACAUCGGAAUCUACUCUGUCGUGGGGGAUAACGUAGGGAAACUUACGCUAAUACCGCAUACGACCUACGGGUGAAAGCAGGGAUCUUCGGACCUUGCGCGAUUGAAUGAGCCGAUGUCGGAUUAGCUAGUUGGCGGGGUAAAGGCCCACCAAGGCGACGAUCCGUAGCUGGUCUGAGAGGAUGAUCAGCCACACUGGAACUGAGACACGGUCCAGACUCCUACGGGAGGCAGCAGGC